rnacentral:lncRNA from 1 species
UCGCACAUGUAAGCGUGGGGAAAAUAAAAGGUAUGUGAAAAUACAUAAAUACGGCGGCAGCGGCGCGAGGAGUUAACGACCGGACGUGCUGCAACCUAGGGAUCACCAGGCAGCCCUUUCGCUCUAUAGGGAUCGGGGGGGCAUAGCACAAUUCUUCUUGGAGGAGGGUUGUUUGCCCGGGUGACUGAUCCUGCCAUAAUGUACUUCUACCUAUUAUAGCACCGGCAACCGAAGUCGAGCAUACAUACGACGAUCUUCAUGCGUGAAUAGCCGGGAGGAAAGAAAAGGCGAUAGAUGAUAAUGAGAAAGGGCGCCGCGUCUGGACGGGCGGAAUGGAUGAGCGAAAGGUGUCAUGCCAUGGAGUGGGGAAUAGCCCU